rnacentral:tRNA from 1 species
GCCAGAAUAGCUCAGCAAGAAGAGCGUUAGACUGAAGAUCUAAAUGUCCCCGGUUCGAUCCCGGGUUCCGGCA